rnacentral:rRNA from 1 species
UACGUAGGGUGCAAGCGUUGUCCGGAAUUAUUGGGCGUAAAGGGCUCGUAGGCGGUUUGUCGCGUCGGGAGUGAAAACUCAGGGCUUAACCCUGAGCCUGCUUCCGAUACGGGCAGACUAGAGGUAUGCAGGGGAGAAUGGAAUUCCUGGUGUAGCGGUGAAAUGCGCAGAUAUCAGGAGGAACACCGGUGGCGAAGGCGGAUCUCUGGGCCAUUACUGACGCUGAGGAGCGAAA